CAUUGGUCGAGAGUUGGCACCGAUCUUCUGAUGAGUCCAAGACAGGACGAAACCAGUG
rnacentral:sRNA from 1 species